UCGAACCAGUGGAAUCAAGUCUAUUGACAUUCCGAUGUUCUGAAUUGUUUUCGUUUUGGUAUACGGUGCAGAUAUUAUUACUCAAGCACGGAUUCCAUUGUGGCGAAAGACAUCUUUUGUUUUAAGUUUCGGAGGAGAAGUUAAUUUAGAGCAAUGUUCGAGUGGGCAUAUGGUGGUGUAAAUGGCUCUAUACCACGCAAUGUCGGUCCAGAAUGUGCGAGUUACUUAACACUUAAACGACGGAUAAUAGAAACUUUGUUUAUAUCUGUAUUUAUCAUAUCCUGUAUCAUAUGGGGUCUCAAACGAAUAACUUUGCCAAAGAAACUAGCUUAUGUUGGCCAGGACCGUGUAGGCAGGCGAGUUUUGUUGAUUAUGAUGUCAUUGGUCCUGGGGAUGGAAAUCGGUUUUAAAUUCACCAGCAGAACUGUCAUAUAUUUAUUAAAUCCUUGUCAUAUUACAACAGCAUUACAGUUAUAUUUGCUGGCUGCGGAUCCUAGUCCAAUGGUCACUGCUAUCUUUAGGAUACAUUUGAAUCUGUUGAAUGGACCGGUAUUAGCAUAUCUAUUUCCAGAAACAGAGUCUCGCAUUAUAUUUGCGGACAAAGCAUUGUACUAUAUUCAGCACGGUUUGAUGCUUAUAAUACCAUAUUAUUUAUUGAGGAUUGGAGGUGUAUAUAAUAUUGAGCCCUUAUCUGAUAUGAGCUGGUCAAUCCUCAGUUAUGGCCUUAAUGUAGGAUAUCACUUUUGGAUUGUUCAAAGUGUUGCCUUGCCUGUACAGGUGAAUCUUAGUCAUAUGUUAUGUGCAGCUGUUUUGGAUCCAUUUGAAGGUCAAAAUUAUCGCUUAUGGGCAGUAACUCAUCAAUUAAUAUUAUGUCCCACUUUGUGCAAGCUGUUUUGUUAUAUAUCUAAUUUUUUAUUGACUAAGUUUCCAUUGACUAGAGUUAAGCCAUCGCUGGAAUGCACUAUUCCAAAAAAGAAUUAUACAUAUGAACAGAAUGAGAAGUUAUGUGAAGAAUCUAACACCUCAGGAAAUGGCCAUACACAUUUUGAUUAAUAUGGAAGAGAAAAUUGUUUUAUCAGAGGUAUGUUUGAAGCACACCCAUCUUGAUUCAAUUAAAACAAUUUAUAUUAUAAUUAUGUCUAUUAUAUAAUUUCCUAAAUAUGGUGUACAAGGAAACUUGAGGAAAGUGGGAGAUAGGAAAAAACGAAUUUCUGACAGAUUUAAUUGUGUUACAGUCCAAUAUAAACAAUUAAUAUAUUUUCAGUAAAAAUUUUUAUUUAAAAGAUAUUAAAAGGAUUUUUGUUUUUGGAGGAUUAAAAUCUUUCAUAGAUACAUACAUAAGUUACCAAAUAGAUAACUUGAUACAAUCGUUGUGAUCAUUAUUAUUAGUUUCAAUUCAUUAGUAUAUAAUACCAAACGAAUAAGAAUAGUCAAUUUGAAAUAUGAAUUUCUGUCCAAAUGCUAGCUUAUCAUGCCUAGUCUUGUGCAUAGAAUCUCAGAGGCUUAAACUGACGUUUGGUAAUAACAAUGGUUUAUUAAAAAUAUAAUUACAUUUUUCAUUAGAUAAAAACACAUUGUAUACAAACCAUUUUGUGUCACCAUUUUAUAUUCAUUUUUAAUAUUUUUAUUUUCGCAAUAGAAAUGAAGAUAUUCAAAUAACGAAACUGCAAUAUUUUAUUUAUAUUAUACAUAAUAGAUAGGCACAAAGUAAAAGUUUACGAAGUUUUACGGUAAAUCUUCUUAGUAGCACGGUCUGAGGUGCAUUGGGCCUAAAAUAGGCCCAAUUAUCUUAAUGAUACAAUGAAAUAAAAAUUUGCUUCAACAUCAAAUAUUUUAUUUUUAGAGAACAAAAAUUUCUUUGUAAAGUGAUUUUGAUAAAUUCUAUUUACAUGUAGUGGUUGUAACAUCUUUUUUAACUUUCCUUUUUAAUCUAAAUUCAAUAUCCGCAAAAAUUUUAAUAAAUCAUGAUUGAUGUUAUCGUAUAUUAUCAGGACUGAAGGAGAUUGCUAUUGAUAAAAUGUUCAUGAUUAAUACUGCUCAUUUUGGCAAAUUGAAACUUCGUAAAUUUCCUCAGUUUAAAAUGCAUAUAAUAUAAGUAUUUUGGCCUCAGGUAUCAUCUCUUAGGUUUAAACAUUAAUAAUUCUUAGGUUUAAACAUAAUCGGGAGACCAUAAAGAGCUGACAAAGCAUUUUAUGACAUAUACAAUGCUCUUAUUUUGAUAAAUCUACGAUUCUAUUUGCGAAAGUCAUGUAUACGGAAAUAUUUUUAUAUGACAGUUCCUAUACUAUCUAAUUACAUACUAUAUACGAAUUUUCGCAUUUUCGCAUACGAAAAUAUAUCCUUAUUAUAAUAGUGAGAAACUUUUAGAAUUUAGAAUUCGAUUUUUGCGAUGUAUAGCAUAUUAUGUGAUAAAUAGAUACAUGCAUAGAUUAUAAAUUAAUGCUUUCGUCCAGACAGAAAUUAAAAUUCAUGAAAAUAGUGCAUGGAUGAAAACUAACGUCCAUUUUACGUCCUUUCAACUUUUCCAUAUAAAAUUUUUGUGAUAUAGUAAAUUUUUGUAAAUUUGUUGCUUUAAAAUAGAACGAUCCAUGUUGUUACUUGUACAGAUUUAAACGAAAGCAAAACAAUUUCAGUAAGCUGCCAUUAAAGAAAGAACUUAUUUUUUAAUGAAAACAGCUUGAUAAUACGGAAUUCAUGUUAUCAGUAUCUAAUGAUAAUAUGGAUAAUAAUAGUAAUAUUAGUGACACUGUAUAGAAUUGACUUAAA